rnacentral:rRNA from 1 species
AGGACGAACGCUUGCGGCGUGCCUAAGAAAUGCAAGUCGAGCGGGGGAGCAAUCCCUAGCGGCGAACGGUCGCGUAACACGUAAGCAACCUGCCCGAAAGACCGGGACAACAGCCCGAAAGGGCUGCUAAUACCGGAUGUGUCCACUUUGCCACCUGGCUUAGUGAGUAAAUCAUUUAUGGCUUUCGGAGGGGCUUGCGGCCUAUCAGCUAGAUGGCGGUGUAACGGACCCCCAUGGCGACGACGGGUAGC